rnacentral:lncRNA from 1 species
CCUCAAGGUGGUUCUGGCCCUGGAGCAGUUGAGCAAGCUGAAGCCCUCUUUAGGAACCAAGGACAUGUGUGACAUGUUGAGUCUGUGCUGCAAGAAUGUUGUGUUGCACCCUUCAGCAGAGAUGAUGCUGAAGAUCAAGAAGUCACAGCAAGCAGCUCAGUACCUGCAGCUUCUGCAAACAUCAUUGAAAGCUCUGGGCCGGCUCAUGGUGGUCCUGCUCGAGACAGAGACCAGCGGCCUCUUCCAGAACAUAGUCCAUAGAUCAAUGACGUCAGACAACAUGUGGGAGCGCAAGAGGGCCCUGCAGAUCUGCUCCCAGCUGCUGGCUGCUUGUGAAGAGCAUGGAAGAGGAGAUGCCUGCAAGCACUUUGGCUCCUUGGUGGGAUUGCUGGCGCCUCUGACGUGUGACCCCAUGCCCACAUCCCGCCAGCUGGCCGUCACCUGUCUGAGCUCCCUUCUCCGAAUCCAAGCCAAGGCGACCAAUGGAGUCAUCAAGAUGGGUGACAUCGGGAGCCUGUGUGAGGGGCUGAAUGACCGCAGCACCGUCUGUCAGCUCCAGACCUCUUCCAAAAUUGCACGG